GUCUUGAGGCCUGGUGUUCCUCAGGAGGAGCGAGCUUGGGCCCUCUCCUCUAGGAUCCAAGCCUCAUAGCUUUCUCCUCCUUUUCUGCCUCCCUUGCUGCUUCAUGUGGGCACCUCGUUGGCCCUGCGGCCUCCAGCAUCAGACAAAAGAAGAGCAGUCACAGAUCACCAGCCAGGUGACUGGGCAGAUUGGCUGGCGGCGAGAGGGUAUCAAGUAUCGCCGGAAUGAGCUCUUCCUGGAUGUGCUGGAGAGUGUGAACCUGCUCAUGUCCCCACAAGGGCAGGUGCUGAGUGCCCAUGUGUCGGGCCGGGUGGUGAUGAAGAGCUACCUGAGUGGCAUGCCUGAAUGCAAGUUUGGGAUGAAUGACAAGAUUGUUAUUGAAAAGCAGGGCAAAGGCACAGCUGAUGAAACAAGCAAGAGCGGGAAGCAAUCAAUUGCCAUUGAUGACUGCACCUUCCACCAGUGUGUGCGACUCAGCAAGUUUGACUCUGAACGCAGCAUCAGCUUUAUCCCGCCAGAUGGAGAGUUUGAGCUUAUGAGGUAUCGCACAACCAAGGACAUCAUCCUUCCCUUCCGGGUGAUCCCGCUAGUGCGAGAAGUGGGACGCACCAAACUGGAGGUCAAGGUGGUCAUCAAGUCCAACUUUAAACCCUCACUGCUGGCUCAGAAGAUUGAGGUGAGGAUCCCAACCCCACUGAACACAAGCGGGGUGCAGGUGAUCUGCAUGAAGGGGAAGGCCAAGUACAAGGCCAGCGAGAAUGCCAUCGUGUGGAAGAUCAAGCGCAUGGCAGGCAUGAAGGAAUCGCAGAUCAGCGCAGAGAUUGAGCUUCUGCCUACCAACGACAAGAAGAAAUGGGCUCGACCCCCCAUUUCCAUGAACUUUGAGGUGCCAUUCGCGCCCUCUGGCCUCAAGGUGCGCUACUUGAAGGUGUUUGAACCGAAGCUGAACUACAGCGACCAUGAUGUCAUCAAAUGGGUGCGCUACAUUGGCCGCAGUGGCAUUUAUGAAACUCGCUGCUAGCUGCCACUAGGCAGCUAGCCCACCUCCCCAGCCACCCUCCUCCACAGGUCCAGGUGCCGCUCCCUCCCCCACCACACAUCAGUGUCUCCUCCCUCCUGCUUUGCUGCCUUCCCUUUGCACCAGCCCCUGAGUCUAGGUCUGGGCCAAGCACAUUGCAAGUGGGACCGGUGGAGCAGCCCCUGGGCUCCCUGGGCAGGGGAGUUCUGAGGCUCCUGCUCUCCCAUCCACCUGUCUGUCCUGGCCUAAUGCCAGGCUCUGAGUUCUGUGACCAAAGCCAGGUGGGUUCCCUUUCCUUCCCACCCCUGUGGCCACAGCUCUGGAGUGGGAGGGUUGGUUGCCCCUCACCUCAGAGCUCCCCCAAAGGCCAGUAAUGGAUCCCCGGCCUCAGUCCCUACUCUGCUUUGGGAUAGUGUGAGCUUCAUUUUGUACACGUGUGACUUCGUCCAGUUAC
rnacentral:sRNA from 1 species